rnacentral:rRNA from 1 species
GAGUUUGAUCGUGGCUCAGGACGAACGCUGGCGGCGUGCUUAACACAUGCAAGUCGAACGAGAAUCUACUGAAAGAGUUUUCGGACAAUGGAAGUAGAGGAAAGUGGCGGACGGGUGAGUAACGCGUGAGGAACCUGCCUUGAAGAGGGGACGAACAGUUGGAAACGACUGCUAAUACCGCAUGAUGCAUAAGGGUCGCAUGAUUCUUAUGCCAAAGAUUUAUCGCUUCAAGAUGGCCUCGCGUCUGAUUAGCUAGUUGGCGGGGUAACGGCCCACCAAGGCGACGAUCAGUAGCCGGACUGAGAGGUUGAACGGCCACAUUGGGACUGAGAUACGGCCCAGACUCCUACGGGAGGCAGCAGUGGGGAAUAUUGGGCAAUGGGCGCAAGCCUGACCCAGCAACGCCGCGUGAAGGAGAAGGCUUUCGGUAGUGUAAACUUCUAUCAGCGAGGGAAGAAAAUAGACGGUACCUGACUAAGAAG